ensembl:lncRNA
UCGCAAUAUAACUUUCACUCAUCACUACUUAGAAAUGACAGUAGCUGGUAGAUCUAGGCAUUGGCUAGGUCUUGGAACUGACAUGCAUUCAUAAAGAAGCACGUGUCUUUCUGUAUCUCACAUUUGCUUUCAAGUAUCUUGAUAGCUGUAUUUCAGUAUAAUCAGUUCCCUUUGUAAUCUUCCAGAUUUAUAUCAUGCACUAAGACCCUCUGCUUCCCCAGCUCCAUAGCACAGAAAAGAUUAGGAACCUUGCCUGGGGCGUGGAGUGUAAGCUAGCCAUGGUCUAGAUGAGGAAACUAAGGCCCAGGAUGGGGGGUGGUUAGCAACAUCACAAGGUCUCCGAUACCCAGCUCACCUGGAAGGAAGUCUCCCUGCCAGGAAAAGAAGACAACUGCUCUCCCUAUUUGCCAUCAGCCACCUCUGGGGGGAGGUGUUUACUCUGCCAGGUGGGGUCCGUCUGGGUCCACUCUGGGGCCACACGGUGGCCUUUGAGACCGAGAACAAUGCCACAUUGUGGCCCUGGCUCCAGAUAAAAGAGAAACUUGGCCCAACUGCCCAGGCAAGAGUGACUGUCCUCUUAAUAUUAAUACACGGAGGGUGUGCCCCCUGCCCACACCCUCACCACUUUUGCCGUUGGCAGUUGUAUAGAAUGUGAUCCCACUGCCUUCUAAUGGAUGGUCAAAGGCCAGUGUGCCGGGCACUUUAUUGUCAGCUGCCUCAGUAAUCUUUAACCUCCCACUGGCCAAAGGGCUGAAACCCAGAAAGACAAAACAAACAUGGGCUGGGCACCAGAGGAGUGAUUCAAAUGAUCCGGGGCUGGAGGGAGCCAGCUCACCCCCCCAACCAGCUCACCCCCCAACCCUGGCCAGUCUGGAUGCUGGGGUUCAAACGCCCCAGGCCCACCCUCCGGAUGCCAUCAACGUCUCUCCCUCGCUGGUGGUGGGAAGCAGGACUCCUGGUAACAGUUGUUAGCUUGUCACUGCAGCUCCGGGGAAAGACAGCAAAUGCCACGUCAGCCACGGUCACCCCCAGCCUCUGGCCAAUGUGUGAGGACGGCUGGGCCCCUCCAGGAGCAAACGCUUCCUCCGGGUCAAUCAAGGAGGGAAAGAGGCUCAGCGGGCAGUGGGAUAUGUGUGCAUCAGACGGGCUGGGGCCAACCCAGCCUCACCAUUCACUUGAACCUCCUCUUGGAGCCUCCGUUUCCUAGCCUGAGAAACGGGGACACUGACAUCUCCUCUCGGCACCGGCACCAUCUGCUGCCAUUUGCAGAGCACGUGCCACCGCCAAGGAUGGAGUUGACUCCAGUUCUCACAACUCUGGAGAAGUGGCCUCCACUCUCCCCUCUCUGCAAACAAGAAACCGGAGCCCAGAAAGAUAGACUUGCCCAGUGGCAACACUGAGAUCUGGACCAAGUCCCCGUGAUUCCGAAGCUGUCCUCUUUCCACUCGAAAGCACAGGUGAUGGCCGUGAGGUAGGAAUCUUGGCUCCAUUUCACAGAUGAAGACACUGAGGCUCAGUCCCUGCAGAAAGAAGGAGUGAGUUCUGCCUGAAGCCCUCAUCUUUCGAUUCCAUGUCCUCUUACUUCCUCUCAGACUGAGGAGGGGCUGCCCGCACCCAUGGGGCAACUCUUCUCGGCACUAUCAAGAAAAACUGUGGACGCAGAGCCAGGGCCUGAAUCUAUCUCCAGGUGCAAAGACAGAGAUCUAGGAGUCCCCAGUGGCCCCUGGUGACACGGGGCAGCUGUCCCUAUCAGUGGCCUCGCUCUCUGAUCAGAGCUGUCGUCACUAUGCAGGGAAAGGUCAAACAAGGAGAAAGCAAUGGAAUCCACUCCCCCCAGUUUUUGCCUCUAAGGAGCAGGGAUUGUUAGCCGUUCUGUCGUGUCUGACUCUUUGCGACCCCUUGGACUGGAGCCCACCAGGCUCCUCUGUCCGUGGGAUUCUCUAGGCAAGAAUACUGGAGUGGGUUGCCAUUUUAUUCUCCAGGGGAUCUUCCCCACCCAGGGAUCGAAACCAGGUCUCCCGUGUUGCAAGCAGAUUCUUCACCGUCUGAGCUAUCGGGGAAGCCCUGUGGACUGAGGACAGGGGAAAAUACGCUGGAGGGGCACACGUCCCUGCAUGCCCUGUCCUGUGCUGAAGCCACGGCUCCAGAGGAACAGACGCUGUUGCCAGCGCUGCCCGCGCACAGGUCCGGCAGAACCAGCUACAGCACACGCCGCCUUGUGACCACGUACAGCGCGCAGCAAGGAGAGCGCCCCCCCGAGGUCAGAAGAGUUAGACGCAGGUUAUGGAGAAUCUCUGUACCCAUCUCCUUUUUCUAAAAAAAAUAUUUUCGCUGCUCCAUGAGGCAUACGGGAUCCUAGUCCCUGAACAAAGGGUUAAACCCACAUCCCCUGCAUUGGAAAUGCGGAGUCUUAACCACUGGAGAAGAGGGUGUCAGAGGAUGAGAUGGCUGGAUGGCAUCACCCAUGCAACAGACCUCAACUUGGGCAAACUUUGGG